rnacentral:rRNA from 1 species
AUGUGGAUCGUUUUCUUUAGAUCCCCAACUAAAGAGUUUGAAGUUGUUUCUGCAGAGAACCUAGAUGUCAAUGAAUGUGCGCAGAGUCCAGGCUCCUGCCAUGGCUCUGCAACUUGCCACAACACAGUUGGAGGGUUCCAUUGUUCAUGCCCUUUUGUCACCAGUUUUGCUAAGGAAACAAACUCAUGCGCCAAUUGGUUUAUAAGUCAGGAGUUGAGCAGGGCACAAUCUGUGGCACGACCGCAUUCUCCUACUCAUUUGUCUCAAAGCAAAAGAAGCUCGCUGCCUUUGCCUGGAGAGAGCAGAAGUUUCUUUUAUCUAAUCCAAGAUGAUCUAUUCAUGAUUAAAACAGCGAGGAAAUCAAAAGUCGAGUGCAAGGGUUGGAUGUCCUUAUAA